GCAGGGGGUGGUGAUGUGUGCCUGUAGUGCUGACUACUUGGGAGGCUGAAACAAGAGGAUUGCUUGAGGCUGGAAAUUAUGGGCCGUACUGUGCUAUGCCAUUCUGGUGUCUGAACUUAGUGGCAUAAAUAUGGUGACCUCCCAAGAGUGGGUGACCACCAGAUUGCCUAAGCAGGGGUGAACCUGCCCAUGUAGGAAACAGAACAAGUUAAGACACUUGUGCGGACCAAUAGUGGGAUCACAUAGCACUACAGCCUGGGCAACAUAGUAAGACCCCAUCUCUU
ensembl:misc_RNA Metazoa_SRP Metazoan signal recognition particle RNA